AGGGUGAGUAGUACAUGGACCUUCUGACCUUAUGAUGGAGAGCCAUGGAGAUUAGAGAGCUGGUAGAAGAGAUGGGAUCAGAGUAGAUUAAGACUGAAGUAGAGAAGGUGAUUAUAUCUUGGAUGACAGGUGUCUUUUGGUAAAGGAUUUCAUUCUAUCCAGAGAUGCUGGACACAUCCCUAUGUGUUUGCCUCAGUUCUACAAACUCUAGGAAGAAAGAGAACAGUCCUUUUUUGCUCGUAGCUGUUCUUCCUCUAGAUGUGAAUAGUUUCUUUCUCAAAAGUCCCUUAGAAUUGUCCUGGGUCAUUGCAUUGCUGCUAAUGGAGAAGUCCAUUACAUUUGAUUGUGCCACAAUGUAUAUCUGUGAACCAUGUUCUCCUGGUCCUGCUCCUCUCACUCUGCAUCAAUUCCUGGAAGUUAUUCCAGUUCACAUGGAAUCCCUCCAGUUCAUUAUUCCUUUGAGCACAAAAAUAUUCCAUCACUCUGUGGAAGAUUUGAUGAGGACCUAAACUAGGAUGGUGGCCAUGUGAGUGGAGAGAAGGGAUUGGAUGUGAGAGAUGUUGUAAAGAUAGAAUCAAUGUAAUGUGUCAACUGAAUGGGUGUGUGGGAUGAGGGCAGUGGUGUGUUCAUGAAUAUUUAACAAAUAGCUAUCUAGAACAGAUUUGGAAAUUUAGGGGAUAUCUCUCAACUAGAGAAUGGCUAAACAAGUUGUAACAUGAUUAUAAUGAAAUACUAAUGAUGUGCAAGAUGAUUUCAAGAAAACAGAAACAUUUAUAUAAACUAAUUCAAAGUAAAGUGAUCAGAACUAGAAGUGCAUUGUACAUCAUAACAGCAAUAUUGUAUGUUGAACAAUUAUGAAAGAACUGACUAUUCUCAACAAUACAGUGAUUCAAGAUAAUCCCAAAGAUAGAUGAUGAAAAGUUUUGUCUCCAGAGAAAGAACUGACAGAAUGUGAAUACAGACUAAAGCAUACUAUAUUUUACUUUUUUCCUUCAUUUUAUUUGCUUUAGAUCUCUUCCACAAAAAUAACUAUUAUGGAAAAAUGUCUUACACGAUGGCACAUGUAAAAUCUAUAUUAGAUUGCUUACUGUCUUAGGGAGGGGAAGAGAGGAAGGGAGGGAAGGAGAAAUUUUGGAACUCAAAAU
rnacentral:lncRNA from 1 species